rnacentral:misc_RNA from 1 species
GAUGAAGAACGUAGCGAAAUGCGAUAAGUAGUGUGAAUUGCAGAAUUCAGUGAAUCAUCGAAUCUUUGAACGCACAUUGCGCCCCUUGGUAUUCCAUGGGGCAUGCAUGUUCGAGCGUCAUUUGUACCUUCAAGCUCUGCUUGGUGUUGGGUGUUUGUCUCGCCUCUGCGUGUAGACUCGCCUCAAAACAAUUGGCAGCCGGCGUAUUGAUUUCGGAGCGCAGUACAUCUCGCGCUUUGCACUCAUAACGACGACGUCCAAAAGUACAUUUUUACACUCUUGACCUCGGAUCAGGUAGGGAUACCCGCUGAACUUAAGCAUAUCAAUAAGCGGAGGA